UCUACGCGCCAAAGGCUCCAACAAAAAAAAUGGUCUAAAAACACUCGGCCCGUGAAAAAUCACAAUGGGCUGAAAAUACUAUGAUUCAAAUUUGGGCCUUGAAGAAAAUUGGUCUCGCGAUCCAUUUCCCAUUUGUAAUUCGGGCUGAAAUCUCCGGCGACGGCACCAGCUCGUUACCCCAUGCUUACGGUUCAUUUCCGGUGCCACUUCUUCUACUCACAGAACCGAGUGUUUUCGGAACUCAAACGAUCACAAUAGAUUCUCAGUUUCAAGCAGAAUUUCGAACAAGAGAGGACCAGCGUCGCUCAAUUUGGAAACGAGUAAAGUUUAAAUGGCUCCAUCCAGCGGUAUAGCCUCUAUUCGUUGGGAGUUGAUCUCAUUGAGACCUUCGGUACUUUGAUUGGAGGUUAGACCAUGAGUGCUAUAUAGGAAGCUUUUAUCAAUAAUCAAACCAGUUGGAAUUUCACAACUAUUACCCUCUGAGAAAAAACAAGAAUAUCAAAGCUAUCAAUUAUGGUGCAAAGUACUUUAAGGCAAAGCCUAUUUUUGGUACCCAACAUGAGUGAAAGUACUAUGAGAUCAAUAUUGGCCGAAGGAUAUAGAAGGAUAAAGAAAGAAAAAGGUCUUCUCAACAACGAUGGACCAGGAUGUAAGACGGGCAUAUUAAGAUCAUGGCUUUAAACCCAAGACCUGUUGAUCCUGAUGUUUUGUUCGACCAGUCCAUACAUCGAUCAUAUGUUGUAUGGCGAGAUCGUACUACUAGAGAAAUAUCUUACAGACAUUGAGAGGCAGGAUUUAUUCAGUUGGACUGGCAUCUGAUCACAGCCUUGGUAGGCUCGAGACACAUAAAUUCCAUAUGUCUAUUGGAGAGUGCACUAUCACUCUACAAGACAUAGAAGUGUUGUUGGGGUUACCUAUUGACGGUGAACCCGUCACAGGAGUGAUAUACGAUGACUGGUUAGAAGUUUGUCAACUGUACCUCGGUGUGACCCCACCUGCCGACAAGAUUAAAGGAUCGAAGUUAAGUUUAAUAUGGUUAGGAACACAAUUUCGUGAGCUCACAGAUGAUGUAGACGAGAAAACCGUCAUAAGAUAUGCGCGAGCAUAUAUACUACAAAUGAUGGGUGGAAGUCUAUUUUCAGAUAAAUCAAGUAUUUUGUUCAUUUGAUGUUCCUAUUACUUUAACUAACCUUCAUGAUACAGGGCAUGGGGUGGAGCAUGCUUGGUAUGGUUGUAUAGACAACUAUUCAAAGCAACAAGACCUGAGGUUAGAGAGAUAGCUGGGUCUCUCAUACUUUCAACUAUGGGCUUCGGAGCGAUUUCCAACAAUGGUUCCACAGCUACAUCAUGUUAAUGACGCUCAAUUAGUUGGACGAGCCUACGGUUCUCGGUGGAGAGAUAAAUUUUGUGUGACUAGGACAGUCACACAUGUAGUCAACCAGUAU